rnacentral:rRNA from 1 species
AUUGAACGCUGGCGGCAUGCCUUACACAUGCUAGUCGAACGGCAGCGGACCUUCGGGUGCCGGCGAGUGGCGAACGGGUGAGUAAUAUAUCGGAACGUACCUUUCAGUGGGGGAUAACGUAGCGAAAGUUACGCUAAUACCGCAUAUUCUGUGAGCAGGAAAGCAGGGGAUCGCAAGACCUUGCGCUGAUUGAGCGGCCGAUAUCAGAUUAGCUAGUUGGUGAGGUAAAGGCUCACCAAGGCGACGAUCCGUAGCGGGUCUGAGAGGAUGAUCCGCCACACUGGAACUGAGACACGGUCCAGACUCCUACGGGAGGCAGCAGUGGGGAAUAUUGCACAAUGGGCGCGAGCCUGAUGCAGCGACGCCGCGUGGGGGA